rnacentral:lncRNA from 10 species
ACUAAUGAUAGCUGAUGAGCUAAAAAUAAAUAAAUAAAUAAAUAAUUUCAUAAUGUUUUAAGAAAGUUUACGAAUUUGUGUUGGGCUGCAUUCAAAGCCGUCCUGGUCUGCAUGUGGCCUGCAGGCCGGGGACUGGACAGGCUUGCUCUAGAUAUUUUUCCUUACGGUACUGGAGCAUUUGGGGAGAUCAGGGCUGAGUAAGGCUCUAGGCAUUACAGUCCCUCAGGGUUCAUAUUAAAAUAAAAUUCUACAAUAAUGACCCAAUGUGGCCCAAUACAGCUGACCCACAGUACAUUAUGAGGUAUUUAAUCAACUCUCUUUGGCUUAAAGAAAAUAUUUUUGUUUCUGAGUUUUAUCGUGGUUGAUAGUGGUGGUGUAGCAAUUUGCUUAUUUGUUUGCUGGGCUUUUUAAUCAAUCAUGACGAUAGAAAGCUGUUGUUGGGGCUUAAGGGAAGAAAUGACAACCUAAUCUGAAAUGUCACCAAAGCCAGCAACUGUGGGGAACCUACCAAAUAAAAUCUGUUGAUAAGAUAAAAGGCUAUUCGGAUUCUGAUCUGACAACCUUUUUUUUUUUUCUUUUUUUUCUUUUUUUUUUUUAGAUAGGGGCUAUGUGAUGCGGAAGGUAAGGGAAGGUAGAGAAAAGUGUAUAAUAUCUGCAAAAAGAUCAUUCCCAUUGCCUGUAUACACCACUGUUUCGUAUGGACUGCAUUUUUGCUGGCAAACUGCAAACACUUUCUCCAAACUGCAGACACAUUUUGAGUCCCAACAAUGUGCAUGGUUCACAAAGCAAUUUGUAGUCAUGGUUUCUUUUACAAAAUGAUGAUGUUUAAGAACAUCUUGUAAUUAGGUCAAAGGAAAACAGUGUUUAUUCUAUGAGCUGAGGAUAGGCUGCAAGUCUGAGUUCUAAUUAACACAGUGGUUGAUUCACUAAUGCCAAGUGUCUGUUGUUAAUGAAGACAUGAAAGCAGUCCCGCAGGUAACAUUUUGUAAGGGGCUUCUUUACAGCAGCAGUUCACUUGGGCAAACAAUGACAGCAAUCCACACCCUCAUCCAGUCUAAUGAAAUGCGUAGCUAUUUACUGGAUUCUUUUUACCUCAAACCCACUUGGGAGAAAAUAGAGAUUUUUCCCAAUAAAUGUGUACGGUAAGGCCUUUGGAAAUAUGCAAGUAUUCAUAGCUACAAGUAUUAAACCAUGCACUUUGAGCCAGUACGAAUAGCAGCAAGGCUUAAGAGAGAAGGCUUUUUAAAAAAUUUUUUUUAUUUUUUAUUUUUUUUCUAAUGCUAGAUCACAAUGGACUUCAUCAGAGCCCUGGAGAGCUAGAGUCAGAAUAGGCCAAAGCAGGAACUCUUGCUCCACAUUAUGCUUUCUUUUUGCAGCAUUAAGGCUUUGGCUGAAAUGCUAAUGAUGAAAACAAUCUCCUUGGGAACCUGUAGGUUUCCACCUUGUCCCAGGCCUGGAGAGAUUAAAAUGUUAUGACAGUUGUGAAGUCCCUUUCUGGCAAAGCUCCAUGAUCUUGUGAAAAGUGUCAAAGGAGAUGAAUGAAAACAAAGAACUUCACCUGACCUCCAAGUGGAAGGCUGAAAUAAAAAGUUAACCCUAGUCACUCCACUGUGGCAGAAAUGUUACAUAUUCCUGCUGCCAAAAUUCCUCAGUCCACUCUUGAAAACACAACAAACACAUUCUCUCUCUCUCUCUCUAACUUCUUUUAGUCUUUCUGCAGAGCAUGUUUUCUUUCUGGUGUUUCUUUAUAUGGGAGACAGGUAAAGGAGAGAAAGGAUUGUUUAAGUGGAUGAACCAGGCUGUAUUUAAGAAUUUUAGGCCAGGAAGGAUGGCUCAUGCCUGUAAUCCCAGCAUUUUGGGAGGCCGAGG